CGAAUUGGAAUGGAACGUUCGAUUACCAAGUUGACAGAGCCGUCUUAGCAUUCCAAUCAUUCCGAUUUUCCCAACAAAAGAUCUUCGAUUACAUUAUGACGUCACAGUGGUUGAAAUAGUGAAAGGUGAAGUAGAUUGUCUACGGUUGAACAAAGUAUAAUUCGUCACAAAGUAUCCAAUUCAGAAACAGAAAGUCUCAAAGUUGAAGGAUGAAUCUGGGAAUACCACGGCAGAAACAAAACUGGAUUGGCGACGUGGAUAUACAACAUUAUAGAUUGCAUAUUGUUUUCCCAUAUUGCGAGAAUUCCAAUGACCCAUUUGUUCACUGGCUACAAUAAAAAAUUGUUUCAGCUUUUUAUUUAAAGUUUACCUGUUUGGGAAUCGUACAUUUUCCAUAUUUAGAGUUCGAGUAGGCUUUUUUCAAAUUCUAAAUUUUAGUUAUUACAAUCGUUUGUCAUCAAACUAAUAUAUAUUGAUUUCAAACGAUCAAAUUGGUAAGGCUAAAGGAAUUUGAGUUCAAUGAAAAUUGCUCAAUAACAAUGCAAAGCAGACUAAUAAAUAUUAGAAAUAAAAUUCCCGUUAAAUUUGUCCCGUGGGAGAACGUGGUAUGAUGAAACUCUGAAAUAAGCUCUGUAUAUUUUCCAGGUGGCGAACUUUCCAUUUUUUGAUAAAUAGUGAAAGACAAAAUGCGUUUGUCGAUACUCUAUAUCGUUUUCUGAAAAUAUUUCAAGGCUCUGUCAUAGGGCUCUUGAGAAUACUUCGACAGGGAUUUGAUUAUAUGCAGCCACGUGCAUAAUAUUUUACAUUCUUGUGUAGCGUCACGUAUAUCUGUGACUGAUGAACAUGGAAUUUUAUUAUACUGUUCCGGUGACCAUUUCUUCUAUCUGACUCUCUUACGAGAUAGGUGUCAAAUAAUACAUUUUUUAUCAAAAAUGAGGUUAUUUUAA